GAUUUCCAUCUUGAUUGCGACAAUUUAUGUUAAGUAUUCUUGUCUGCUUGCUGAUAUUUUGUCUCUACAAGGAAACACAAUCAAGGUGUUUUUAGUUUAGAAGUUUUACUUUUUGAUUGUGCGAUGGUGAUGGGUUGAAAGUGAACUUCUUUGAUAUAAUAUUCCAGAUAUUGAUGAGUGGAUGCUGUGUUAUCUCUCCAUAUGAAGUUGGAACUCUUGUGCUUCGCAUGUACAAAUCCAUAUAGAAUAUAUAUUUGGAUAAAACUUCAAGAUUAAGCAUUCAGUGGUGGACGCACAGGUUAGAGUCUACUACUUACUUUAACAAUAGAGAAAAUAUUUAUCCUCAAGCUAAACUUUUUUAUUGUUUUCUAUAGAGUCUCAAACGCAACUGCUUUUGGUUCCUAUAAUAACACAAUACUCUUUUUGUUAUUUAGAGAACUAGUGUCCCGCGAAUAUUAGAGGACACUUUAGCAGCAUGUUAUUCAUUAUCAUUGAUGCCAUUGCUAUUGAUGUUCUACAUCUUGAUUUGUUUGCGUAUCCUUCAGAACAUGUUGUCCUUGCUCUUUACUUUUUCCCCACAGAAGAAUAUACAUGCCAGCAAUAACCAAGGCAGAUCCUGCAACACUGUUUAUUGCAGAUAGAGAUGCAUUAGGUGCAAUGGAAAGUAGAAAGACCGGAAUUCAUAAAAGAAAGAUUAAAGAAAUCAACCUUCCCAAAUAAAUUUCCUCCUUUAGUACAGAGAAAUCAAGCAUGGCCACAAAUAUCUGUAUAAGGGGGGUAAAGGCUGCAGUAAAAACCGGUCCCCUUUGUUUGACACACCAUGACAUUGCCACAUAGCACAAGCCCGACCCUACCAAUCCCUAGACUCACAAAAACCACAAUUUUGAAUGUUAAAGGCUUUGACAAGUAGUUAGGAUUGCUGAAUCUUCUACUUGAAAUGCAAACCAAUAUUUUAGACUUGAACUUAGAAUUUGCAAAUAAACAGACUAUUUUAAAAUAAUUUAAAAUGAUCAUGUUACUGUAAAGAAUGUACUUACAGAAUAUAUAACACUUAAUAUUUCUAGCUUUCCUUUGAGAAUCCACGAAGCAUUAUUCCUCUUGAUGAUCAAAGUUAAUAUUGCUGACUGAAUGGCAGCGAAAAGUGACAAAAUAGCUGUGCUAGAGUACUGACAUGGGUAUUUUUUGCUAAUCUUUGCUUGUAUAAUGAACCAUGAAGACCACAGGAGGCAGCUCACGGUUAGAAUUAUGGAACCUAUAAUCCACGUCUCUAACUUGGCAGUUGAAGGUAAACUUGUAACUUUGUUAGCUAUGUAUUGGGAUUGUGGCUUGAUAAGGGGCAUUCCUUUAUAAAGGACUAAUAACAAAGCUCCACCAAUGCAGACAAAAGUUCCCAUGACUUUAGCUUUGCCUCCCUUGCUUUGCACAUUCACCUUCUCUAUCCUUGAAAAAUUUCAAGCCCAAGGAUCAAAAUUACUGUUGUUGUUGUAUUCCACAAUCAAAUAAUUUCCUUUUGUUUUAACUUACCCAAAUGGCACUGCCAUAAUGAACGUAAAUACAGGCACCAUGUUGAGGAACGCACAUGAGAACGUGGCUGACGUAUAUUUAAGUCCAAGAAGGAAAAGGUAUUGGGGAACUGUCACUCUGAAAAACAUUGCUAUACUUGUUACAAUUUGUUUAAAUGUGAGGUUUUGGAUAGAGGGAUUAGGUUUAGAUCUUGCCAACAUCAAAACUGAACCAGAAGCUUAUAUUUAGUUACAAUAAUACUUACCCGAGUAGGGCACUGAGGAAAAGGAGACAUAUUGUGCGAACCUCCACUUUGUGUUUCCUGUAAAAAGUAAAACACUGGCUUUGUCCUGUCAUUUGUAAAAUUUAGGUAGUUCUAGAAAAAAAGUUGUCACUAAAACAAACAAGGUCAUGAAUAUUAACCAAAGAUGUGUUGAUUAAGGUGACAGAGAAAGAAGUUUCAACGAGAAUUUUUCUUUACUCUGAGCAGGUUGGCAAAAUGGAUCAAACAAUGUUACAAGAAAUGAAUUUGGCUCUUGCCUUUCAUAGAUGCAGGCAAUAGGUGCCAUGAAGAUAAACGAAAUUGCCUGUCGAUAUGUUAUAAUGGACAUGUAGUCCAUUCCUUCAUUAAGAACCUUCUUCAGAAGCAAAUUGACCAAAGCCAGAGCCAAGUUAACUAGAAUCAUGAUGGAGACUGGCUUGCACAGUUCAUGGCAAUGUGUCAACAUCAUGAAAUUUCUGUUUUGUACUUUGUUGUUUGUUAAGCUGUGGAAGAAUGGUGUGAUGGCGGCUGUUUUGUCCAAUAUAUAGAGAAAUUCAAUAGCCUCUCAGAACAAGGGAACAAACAUGUUGAUAUAUUCCUCUCCACAUCACCAUUCCCCAUUCAGUGUUCCAUGCUUUAUUAUUUGCUUGUUUUCAAUUUCUAAGGGUCGAAAUUUACAUGUUAUCGAUGAGAUAUUCGUUCUGUCAUUGACUCUCCUUAGCCUAUAUCAGAUUUAUCAAAUCAGUCUUUUCCGGUCAAAUUGCCACAUUUUUUACAUGUUGAUUCCGUUCACAUCCCCUUUCCUACAGAUUUCUGCAGCUAAGAUCAGUAAGACAAACAAAGAGCUAAUAUAUUAGAUCACGUGUUAUUUAUAUACAUCAAUUGACAUCAGAAUAAGCUUCUUAUCUUCUGAAUAAGUAUAAUCCAACAUGUGGUACCGUUCUUUGGACCAUUACCUUCUUAUCGUAGUGAAUAAGUGUUUGCAUUAGAAUUUCACUAGUGGUGUAACUUGUAAGCAACAUUAGAAAGUUGAGACAGAUAUGACACUGUCUCCAGUUUCUUUUGGUAACUGGGAAUCUGUUUUUCUGAUUUACUUACGUUACUAAUUAUAUUUAUUUGCCACAUUGCAUGCAAAAACAAGAUGUCAAAUCUUGGGAAAAGAAAGAUAGCAGAAAGGUGUAAGAUGCUAUCUAAAUGGAAUGCAAAUUGCAGACGGUGAAAAGAGGUUUGUGGUGUAUUUUUUUGCUUUCAUGGAUCAAUAUAUCAUUUAUUAGAGACAAGUCAUGUAGAAUCAUUAUGAAAAAUAAAGCUUUCUGUG
rnacentral:lncRNA from 1 species